CUCGUCCUCAAUGGAGCCGAUGGCCCGAUGCCCUCCUCUCACCGCCUCCCGUCCGCUGCUGCCGCCCCCGGCUCCGACGUCGUGCCGUCCCUAGCCUCCUCCUCCUCCCCAGAACUCCAUCCCCCACGUGCUCCCCUGCGGUACCUAGGGUUCUCGCCUCCCUCGACGAACCUAGGGUUCGGCGCGCCACCGCCUCCCCUGCUGUACUUGCGACCGACGGCGGCGGUCCGGCCAUCGUUGCCAGCGAGGUGCUCCUAGCCAGAAGAGAGGUGCUAAGCUAGGCGGUAGCGGUGCCUCCGCCCGCCGCCUCCAUCUCGUCGAGCUCCGGUGUGACAACGCCUUCCUCAGAUAUGUGCAUCUGCGACAUCUUCCUCCCCUCUCUAGUUUCCCCCUUCAAAGUAGGUAGAAAUGCGAUGCAUGCCUUUGCCUCCUUUGCCUUCUCCCCCUCCCUGCCAUGUCUGUUCUACUCCGCUUCUUCCAUCAGAUUGGCUAGUCUUGUUAGUGCCAGAUAACUUGCUGCUACUUGCUAGUUUCUUUCCCCAGUGAUUGAGUCAACUGGAUUGCCUGCUGCUUAGCUCCUUGCUUAUUUCACUCUUGAUUAAUGCCCAUUGGUUGCUGUCAUGCUUUGAUCUUAGUUUAUUACCACCAUGCAGGAUGCAGCCAUGUGAUUUGUUAUUACCUGAUUAUCUCAAUCCAUGCUUAGCAAGUGCUUUUGUGAUUAACUGCAUGUUUGCCUUUCUUGUUGUCAGUGAUUGCUUGCUUGAUUAUUUUGAUAAAGUACUUGGUCUGUGUUACCUACUACUUGCAACUUUUGUGCUUGACUUAUUGCUAUGACUUGUUCUUGUUUGAUUAGUAUUAAGGUACACGCUAACACACUGAUUAUUAGUCCAUUCAAUGCAUGCGUGGUUAGUGCCCUUUCCGAGUAAGUCAACAAGUUAAUUUAACAACCAGAUGAUGGCCGAUCGUCUAUAGUGGAAAGAAAUAGCUGCAAAGUCAUCUGCGGUGCCCAUAGAGUUAAAUAAAUCUAAUCUAAUAGAAAUUUAGUUUUGUUUCGGUACUACUAGAUAUUUGUUGCUAUGACAUCACUUUAUAUGAUGCAAUGUUACUUCUUGUACGAUCAAUAUGUCCCCCCCCCCCCCCCCCGCUCUGCCCCUGGUUUCAUCAGUCUGUACUUAUGUGUAUUUGUGUGUUUUGGUAUGCAAUGAAGUACUUUCUAGAUUAUGAAAACAGUGCGUUGCUGUUAAAUCCAUGGCCAUUUACAUAUUGUAGCAAUUGAGCACCGUGUAACAACCAUUCCGAGAGUAAUUGCAUCCGUGACAUAAAGUAACUAAUUAAAUGUUUAGAUGUAAUUGAGUGCACACUUCCUCUCUUAGAAGUCCCUAGUUUUUUAAUUUCUACUACAGCGCUGCCAGGUGUGGGGGUGAACUUACCUGGUUUUACGGGAGCCCCCUCCGCAGCUCAAUCUGCUUCCAGGUGAGAUAGGGGGGGUUACUAUUGCUGCUCGUCUCCUUCACUUUCGGUUCUAAUCAACGGGCACAAACCACGCGCUACCAGAUUAAACAUUUCCUUUGUUUCUAUAUGGUUCGUGGUUUCUGAAGACAAACAAUAGGGGAGGUAUGUAAUUGUAAGUACUGAUGGCAUGCAUGGGUUCUAACUGGAGAUACAACAUGUAGGAUGAGAACUGUAAUUUUUGUAUCUGCUGGAUAUGAGCUUUUGUUGGAUCUGAAGUCCUGUGUAGUUAUAUGGUUGAUGUAAUUUUAGAUGCAUGGAAUCUGAGCUUUUGUUGGAUCCCAGCUUUAGUGGAAUGUUUUCCUCAUGCUUCUAACUGUUGGCAGAACAAGCUCUUUAGUUUCAAGUGUAAGAUUUGCCUUUGUCUAUAUAAACUAGUAGAUGCACUUCUAUUCUCAUUA